GCGGGGUUAGCUCAGCUGGGAGAGCGUCAGACUGAAGUUAAUGACUUCGGUAACCAACUGGAUUUCCAAAUCUCUUAUCUGAAGGUCAUGUGUUCGAUCCACAUACACCGCA